UACGUAGGUGGCAAGCGUAUCCGGAAUUAUUGGGCGUAAAGCGCGCGCAGGCGGUCCUUUAAGUCUGAUGUGAAAGCCCACGGCUCAACCGUGGAGGGUCAUUGGAAACUGGGGGACUUGAGUGCAGAAGAGGAGAGCGGAAUUCCACGUGUAGCGGUGAAAUCGUAGAGAUGUGGAGGAACACCAGUGGCGAAGGCGGCGUCUCUGGUCUGUAACUGACGCUGAGGCGCGAA
rnacentral:rRNA from 1 species